rnacentral:rRNA from 1 species
GACGAACCGUGCGAACGUUGUUCGGAAUCACUGGGCUUAAAGGGCGCGUAGGCGGCCUGCCAAGUCAGGGGUGAAAGCCCCCAGCUCAACUGGGGAAGUGCCUUUGAUACUGGCGGGCUCGAGCGAGGCAGGGGUCGUGGGAACUUCCGGUGGAGCGGUGAAAUGCGUUGAUAUCGGAAGGAACGCCGGUGGCGAAAGCGCACGACUGGUCCUCUUCUGACGCUGAGGCGCGAAAGCCAGGGGAGCAAACGGG